UCUCCGUUGGUGAACCAGCGGAGGGAUCAUUACCGAGUUUACAACUCCCAAACCCCUGUGAACGUACCAUUUGUUGCCUCGGCGGUGCCUGCUUCGGCAGCCCGCCAGAGGACCCAAACCCUUGAUUUUAUACAGUAUCAUCUGAGUAAAUGAUUAAAUAAAUCAAAACUUUCAACAACGGAUCUCUUGGUUCUG
rnacentral:misc_RNA from 1 species